GUGGUUCAAGUCCCUCUAUCCCCA
rnacentral:tRNA from 2 species